rnacentral:lncRNA from 1 species
GUGAUUCUAUCUGAUGACAACCAGUCAGUGAUCUCAGGUAUAAAAUGCAAUGUCCUAUUGUAACAAUGGCUGGCAUUACACCCAACAUCUAGAAGAAAAAAACAAUGAUGUCAGAAGGCAGUCAUCUGGAGUGAAUAAAAGGCAAGAGGCUUAUUGCAAAUUCUAAUGCACUUCAUCAUAGAAUUUUAAUUAACUAUUCCAUUCACACCAGUUGGGGACUAUGAAAGCAGUUGUUUCUGAGAAGCAAUCUUUGGGAAAUUCAGGUCCGACAGGGAUGACAUCAACAGAAGCUCAGGCUAGAAGGAAGAUGAGGUAGCAGAGGGCCUGGUCUGCCCUCACCCCCAGGAGUGACUGGCAGCACACACAGCCUGAAUCGACAAGAUUUUUAAAAAACAUAUAUGUUUUGGUUUUCACAAAUUCUCC